rnacentral:rRNA from 1 species
UACAGAGGGUGCAAACGUUGCUCGGAAUCACUGGGCGUAAAGGGCGUGUAGGCGGACGUGUAAGUCGGGCGUGAAAUCCCUGGGCUCAACCCAGGAACUGCACUCGAAACUGCGCGUCUUGAGUACCGGAGAGGAAGGUGGAAUUCCUGGUGUAGAGGUGAAAUUCGUAGAUAUCAGGAGGAACACCAGUGGCGAAGGCGGCCUUCUGGACGGUAACUGACGCUGAGACGCGAAAGCGUGGGGAGCAAACAGG